AACGAACGCUGGCGGCAUGCCUAACACAUGCAAGUCGAACGAGACCUUCGGGUCUAGUGGCGCACGGGUGCGUAACGCGUGGGAAUCUGCCCUUAGGUUCGGAAUAACUCAUGGAAAUUUCUGCUAAUACCGGAUGAUGUCUUCGGUCCAAAGAUUUAUCGCCUUUGGAUGGGCCCGCGUUGGAUUAGCUAGUUGGUGGGGUAAAGGCCUACCAAGGCGACGAUCCAUAGCUGGUCUGAGAGGAUGAUCAGCCACACUGGGACUGAGACACGGCCCAGACGGAUAAGGGAGGCAGAAGUGGGGAAUAUUGGACAAUGGGCGAAAGACUGAUCAAGAAAUGCCGCGUGAGUGAUGAAGGCCUUAGGGUUGUAAAGCGCUUUUACCAGGGAUGAUAAGGAAAGGAAAGGGAGAAGAAGCCCCGGAUAACUCCGUG
rnacentral:rRNA from 1 species